CCGACCUUAGCUCAGUUGGUAGAGCGGAGGACUGUAGUGAUCCAGACAUCCUUAGGUCGCUGGUUCGAUUCCGGCAGGUCGGA
rfam:Selaginella moellendorffii unplaced genomic scaffold SELMOscaffold_2, whole genome shotgun sequence.